AAGUUACAAUCUUUUUGUUGUUCUUUUGCAAGCUUUACACUUGGAAUCUUCUCUUGCUAUGAUGUCAAAAAGGUUAGAAUUGUGCUGCCUUUUGGAAAAGGUCUUUAGAAAUGAGUUAUGGCACUAAAUGCAUGGAGUAUCUGUGUUUCCCUUCAACAGGAACGGUUGGUCUGUGAUUGAAUCUUUUGUUAGAUUAAGCAUUCCUAUAUGUAAAUUCUGUGUGAUAAUUCUGCUAAAUAUCCUUGAGUUGACUGGUCAUUAUGUCAAGACAAAACUUGAUGAGCCCUAAGGAGAUUCUGACAUGCUCAUAGGGUUACUCGAGGGAUGGGAACAAAAAAAUACCUUUUUGGGUUUUUAUUAACGAGAUGUUUGGAAGUUAUUCUUAUAUGGAUCUAACUACGCUUAAAAGCAAGUUGUUAAAUAUACUGGAGCUUCUCGGACAUUUUGUCUUAGAUUACAGUGCGCUUUUGGACAGUUCUCCUAUUCAUAGUAUGAUUUAUAUUUCAAAGUCUAGGCUAACAGGGAGCUUUGACUUGAGUUCUUGUUAUGUGACUUAAACAUAGUGAUGAUGGUUUACUUGUUCAAUUAGGCAUGUAUUAAUUUCUAACAAUUUGCUUAUAGAGUCCAGUCUACAUAUCAUGUGCUGAUGCAUGAGUGCUAAUGAUACAAUAUAGGCUACAUAAGCAUGUAAUGUUAUGCAAUCUAAAUAGUUUCUUUCUAUCUGAAUGUAAUUAUGUGUCUGGAGCACAUCUGACAAGCAAAUGCUGAUCAUGUGGGAGAGAGAGAAUUUUGGAGGAAGACAGCCAUCACCAAAUUGCAAAAAUGGUAGUAGUAAAUGAAACAUUUUAAGACAGCAGCAGUAGGUGCUAGAUAGCAUUCCCAGUAUAAUCUUGAAGAGAAAAUAAACCAGUUAUUCCUCAUCUUUGUUCUUCAUUUGAUGCAAUCCCUAAUUGGUCUUUUAGAACAUGAAGCUGCUUCAUCCAGGUUAAUUUCAUCUCUUCAAGAAGCCUGAAACCACAGUAGGCAAUAUAUAUCAAGCUGUUUUUGUUAUUAUCAAAAUGUUUCUAUAUACAUAUCAAGUUUACCAACUUCCUAGAGUGGCACAGUGUCUAUAACAAGAUAUGUUGAAGUGACUUUACCUUUGCCUUUGUUGUUGUCAGCACUUUGUGUUCCAUUAAAAAUGUCCUGUUGGUAAUGUUUUCCUUUGCUUUGACAGGUAACACAGCAUGUUAGACAUUCAUAAACCUCAACCAAAGAGAGUUCUCACAAAGUUACCUCGCAAAAAGGCAAACCGAAAUAAUCAGAUCAUCAACUAGAUUCAAAUAGCAUGGACUAAAAUUUAGCUCCAACACCACUGGUGCUUACUUCAUGAGUUCAUAGUUCUGACCCACAAGAAAGACAAACUGGACAGUAGGCAGAAUAGAUGGAUCAGAGAAGACCAUUUAUCUGCAUGAAAUAAGAAGCUGAUGCUUCAUUGAUGACCUACACUGUCUCCAUAGGUCACUGUUAAGAAUCCAUCUGACAUCUAAUCGGAGGAGAACAAUCAAACCCAUAGUAUCCAAUGCCCUUACUGCAUUUGUUGUUUAUUAUGUCUAUUAUAUGAUUUGUAUCUGAACAUGGUGGAUGUUUGCAAGACAGCUUACUGUUUCUGCA